rnacentral:tRNA from 1 species
AGAACGGUAGUUCAAUGGAAGAAUAUCUGCCUGUCACGCAGGGGGUUGUGAGUUCGAAUCUCACCCGUUCUU